UGGUGGCUUUUCUGCUCUCAUUCUUGGUUGAUGUAAAUGGUGGAAAUUCCCCAUAUAAUGGAUACUGGUUAACUCCUCACAGGCUACUUUACUUUCUCCCUCUGGGGUUUCCCGGCCAGCUUAGCAAGAGUUUCUGCCUGUAGGGGGAUGUCCUCCACUCUGCUGGUGUGUUUUCUGUGGCGCUGCCUGCGUCUGGUCUGUGCUUGGUGUGGUUAUGGAAGAGACAAAGCAAGUCAUCCAUUCUGCAGCCUGAGCAGUCUUUGGGAAGUGAUCCCUGGCCAGUGCCUGCUGAUUCCAAACUCCACAGCAAAGCAGAGCCAGGCUGCAGGGAAACAUGGUGUACAAAAGAAGAAACUGCGCAUGCUCCUGGCAAAGCAGCUGGGAAAAGAGAUCACUCAGCACCAAAUAUGAGCCAAUGACUCCGGGCUUGAAAGUAGCCAUUGUCUUAACCCACAAGCACGCAGGCAGGAAUGAGCAGGGCCUGCUGGGUUUUUCCUUUCCCAGUUGCUGAGCCAGCUGCUCCGUGCUGGGACAAAUGCCUGCGCCUUGUUCUCAGUUCAGGACAAGGAUCUUGACACAGGACAGAAGGUCGAAUGGUACACCAGUAGGGCAGGAAAAGAAAAAUAAAAACAGGAAGUGGCCUUCUCUGAGAUUUUUCCAUGGAAAGGCUGAGAAAAGCAUCGGAUAGAACAAGAAAAGGGAAGAAAUGGGUGGUGUCCAGAAGCUCUGAGAAGUGAAUGUGCCUUUGUUGGAAAACAGCCCAUAGCACAUAGCCUCAGGGCCCUGCUUUGGCUCCCUGCCUUCCAUGUCACCGAGAGGAUGCUUCUUCAGGGAAGACUCAGAAUGCCAUUCACAGAAGAACUCAUCCUCAGUGUGAGGAUAUGUCAUAUCCUCUUAACUCUCAGUGUGAGGACUAGCUCUGUUGCCUCUAUGCCACUGACUGCAGCUGGGUGAAGCUCAAAGGAGGUUGCCCUGUCUCCCCCUCUCUUCAUCAAGAAGAUCUGUGGGAGAAGAGAGCAACUCUGGGCCAUAGGGAAAGGGGGCAAGAUAAAGCUCUUCUGCCAGGUUCACAGUCUUUACUCACAGGAGGAAGAGCUGCAGUCUUCCUAGCUGUGUUCCAUCUGGUCUUGAGGUCCUAGUUUAGGGCCCAGUUAUGAAAGCAGUCAGAGCUUUAUACGAAGGGGGAAGAAUGUAGCAGUAGCAGCCGGCACAUACCCAUGAGUCAGGACCGUGCACUCCAGACAACCACCAGAGGCCAAAGGGCAGCCUUGGCCUUUACCACAGUUUUUCUCAAAACACACAGUAAGCGGGUGGCAGGAAGUGAGUUGCAGCAACCUCGAGCGAUGUGUGAAAGUUUCCAAUUAGAAAUUCAAAGAACUCGUCCUAUUUAAUGGAAAAGCGAAACGAAUUCUUUCUUGUACUUCUCAUCCUUGGUUGGUCCCGGCAGAGACACUGUGACGGUUCGUUCCCUGAUAUCUGCAGGAUCUGAGGUGAUGGGAAGGAACCAAUCAGAGAUUUAGGUUCAGGACAAUUGCCUGAGUUAGACCGAGUUUAUACUAUGUUGUUGAUAAAGUUUUAUUGGUA